rnacentral:tRNA from 2 species
GCGCGAGUGGCGGAAUUGGCAGACGCGCCAGAUUUAGGUUCUGGUGCCUUCGGGCGUGGGGGUUCAAGUCCCCCCUCGCGCA